rnacentral:rRNA from 1 species
GACGAACGCUGGCGGCGUGCUUAACACAUGCAAGUCGAGCGGUAAGGCCCUUCGGGUACGACGAGCGGCGAACGGGUGAGUAACACGUGGGUGACCUGCCCUUAGCUCUGGGAUAAGCCUGGGAAACUGGGUCUAAUACCGGAUAUGACCUCAUGACGCAUGUUGUGGGGUGGAAAGCCUUGUGCGGCUAGGGAUGGGCCCGCGGCCUAUCAGCUUGUUGGUGGGGUGAUGGCCACCAAGGCGACGACGGGUAGCCGGCCUGAGAGGGCGACCGGCCACACUGGGACUGAGACACGGCCCAGACUCCUACGGGAGGCAGCAGUGGGGAAUCUUGCGCAAUGGGCGAAAGCCUGACGCAGCGACGCC